GACGAACGCUGGCGGCGUGCUUAACACAUGCAAGUCGAGCGGGGACACCGAAAGUUUUCGGACGGAAGGUGUUCCAGCGGCGGACGGGUGAGUAACGCGUGAGCAAUCUGUCCCAGACAGGGGGAAUAACAGAUGGAAACAUCUGCUAAUACCGCAUAAGACCACGGGAUCACAUGGUUCCGGGGUAAAAGGCGAAAGCCGGUUUGGGGUGAGCUCGCGUCCGAUUAGCUAGUUGGCGGGUAACGCCACCAAGGCGACGAUCGGUAGCCGACCUGAGAGGGUGAUCGGCCACACUGGAACUGAGAAACGGUCCAGACUCCUACGGGAGGCAGCAGUGGGGAAUA
rnacentral:rRNA from 1 species